rnacentral:rRNA from 1 species
UACAGAGGGUGCGAGCGUUAAUCGGAAUUACUGGGCGUAAAGCGCGCGUAGGCGGCUUUGCAAGUCGGGUGUGAAAUCCCCAGGCUUAACCUGGGAACUGCAUUCGAGACUGCAUUGCUAGAGUAUGGGAGAGGGAAGUGGAAUUUCAGGUGUAGCGGUGAAAUGCGUAGAUAUGUGGAGGAACACCGAUGGCGAAGGCAGCCCCCUGGGCUAACACUGACGCUCAUGCACGAAAGCGUGGGGAGCAAACAGG